rfam:Chlorocebus sabaeus isolate 1994-021 chromosome 19, whole genome shotgun sequence.
GCCGGGCGCAGUGGCGGGCGCCCGUAGUCCCAGCUACUCAGGAGGCAGAGGCAGGAGAAUUGCUUCAACUCGUGAUGCGGAGGUUGCAGUGAGCCACCGCGCCCGGCCUAAACUCUUCUUUUUUUUUUGAGAAAAAAAUCUCACUGUCGCCAGGCUGGAAUGCAGUGGCACGAUCUUGGCUCACUGCAACCUCCGCAUCACAAGUUGAAGCAAUUCUCCUGCCUCUG